CCCCAAGUGCGAGGGCAUAUAGUCCUCGCUUUUCUGGAGGGUAAGGACCUCCAGGAACAAGUGCUGGGCAAGACCGGUGCCAGCCGCCGCGGUAAUACCGGCAGCACGAGUGAUGGCCGAUGUUAUUGGGCCUAAAGCGUCCGUAGCCUGCCAAUCAGGUUCGUCGGGAAAUCCACGCGCUCAACGUGUGGGCGUCCGGCGAAUACCGAUUGGCUUGGGACCGGAGGACCCGAGGGGUACGUCCGGGGUAGGAGUGAAAGCCUGUAAUCCCGGACGGACCACCGGUGGCGAAAGCGCCUCGGGAGGACGGAUCCGACGGUGAGGGACGAGAGCUGGGGUCACGAACCGGAUUAGAUACCCGGGUAGUCCCAGCCGUAAACGAUGCUCGUUAGGUGUGGCGCAGGCUACGAGCCUGCGCUGUGCCGUAGGGAAGCCGAGAAACGAGCCGCCUGGGAAGUACGUCUGCAAGGAUGAAACUUAAAGGAAUUGGCGGGGGAGCACUACAACCGGAGGAGCCUGCGGUUUAAUUGGACUCAACGCCGGACAUCUCACCAGCACCGACAGUAGCAGUGACGGUCAGGUUGAUGACCUUACUUGAGCUACUGAGAGGAGGUGCAUGGCCGCCGUCAGCUCGUACCGUGAGGCGUCCUGUUAAGUCAGGCUACGAGCGAGACCCACAUCCCUAAUUGCCAGCACUGCCGUGAGGCAGGUGGGUACAUUAGGGAGACUGCCGCUGCCAAAGCGGAGGAAGGAAUGGGCAACGGUAGGUCAGUAUGCCCCGAAUGUGCUGGGCGACACGCGGGCUACAAUGGCCGUGACAAUGGGAUGCGACCCCGAGAGGGGAAGCUAAUCUCCUAACCACGGUCGUAGUUCGGAUUGAG
rnacentral:rRNA from 1 species